UACAGAGGCCUCAAGCGUUGUUCGGAUUUAUUGGGCGUAAAGGGUGCGUAGGCGGCGCGGUAAGUCGGGUGUGAAAUCUCGGAGCUUAACUCCGAAACUGCAUUCGAUACUGCCGUGCUUGAGGACUGGAGAGGAGACUGGAAUUUACGGUGUAGCGGUGAAAUGCGUAGAUAUCGUAGGGAAGACCAGUGGCGAAGGCGGGUCUCUGGACAGUUCCUGACGCUGAGGCACGAAGGUCAGGGGAGCAAACGGG
rnacentral:rRNA from 1 species